rnacentral:miRNA from 1 species
CCCGCCGCGCGUCGCCGCUCUCCG